AGAGUUUGAUCAUGGCUCAGGAUGAACGCUAGCUACAGGCUUAACACAUGCAAGUCGAGGGGCAGCAUGAUUGAAGCUUGCUUCAAUUGAUGGCGACCGGCGCACGGGUGAGUAACGCGUAUCCAACCUUCCGUACACUCAGGGAUAGCCUUUCGAAAGAAAGAUUAAUACCUGAUGGUAUGAUGAGAUUGCAUGAUAGCAUCAAUUAAAGAUUUAUCGGUGUACGAUGGGGAUGCGUUCCAUUAGGUAGUAGGCGGGGUAAUGGCCCACCUAGCCGACGAUGGAUAGGGGUUCUGAGAGGAAGGUCCCCCANAUUGGAACUGAGACACGGUCCAAACUCCUACGGGAGCA
rnacentral:rRNA from 1 species